rnacentral:lncRNA from 1 species
AACACUUAUCUUUAAACCACAUAAGUUAUAGAUAUACAUGUUCUAUAUAGACACACAUACAUAUUCCAUCCAACUUUAUGUUUCAUAAAUUCUCCACAUAAAAAUUCAUUUAGUAAAUGGAAUGAAAUUAGUGCGACUGACAGAAAACAACGUGUUGAAGUCAGGAACUAUACCAUGAGGACUUUAUUGCCUUUCUAAAUAUUUUGGAAACAGUACAACUCGCCCAUGCAUCAUGUUUUCUUGGUGCUUGCGUAAUCAUUUCUCCUCCAACUUCCAAUUAAAAAUUCAUGGGGAUGAGCAUCAAGCAGAGCACAAUGGACCUGAGUCAGUGUGAUGUGGUGGCAAAACACUGAGGUCUUGAAAUUCAAAGCUGUGGUCUCCUGCCCCCUCUACUCAUGCUCCUCCUUGUGUGACUGAGUAAUAAUGAUGCGUCUCCUGCCCCCUCUACUCAUGCUCCUCCUUGUGUGACUGAGUAAUAAUGAUGCGUCUCCUGCCCCCUCUACUCAUGCUCCUCCUUGUGUGACUGAUAAUAAUGAUGCGUCUCCUGCCCCCUCUACUCAAGCUCCUCCUUGUGUGACUGAGUAAUAAUGACUGGGACAAGCGCCAUCCUAGAAAGAUAAGGAGCCAAAACGUCCUGGUCAAAAACAAGAACCUUAAAUCUGAAUGUGUCCACCAUUCCCCGUGCCCAUCCUAGGAGCUUACAUACUGCAUUCUUCCAAAUACUACUUCUUGGAUUCGAAGAUAUGAAAUGAUGUAAUGAUGGGCAGUAAAAUGUAAAUUACGUGGUUGUCGUGGGGGGUGGUCCUCCUUUGAUGAGACAUCCUGAGUUCAAAGACGGUACGCAAAGGAGGGGUGCUGUUGAGAGUGAGAGUUCAGUGAAGGCUGUAUUAGCUCUGGCUACCUCCUCAGUGGUAAACAAAGUGUCCGCUUUAUGCAGAGGCCACAGGGGUUCACUUCUCAGAGAUGCUGUGCUGCUGGGUGCUCUGUCAGUGGGACAGUGCUUACACGUGCCAGUGUCUGUAGCUUCACCAUCAAAAUAGGGCCCAACGGUGUGGGAAGCCUUCUUAAUUAACCAUCCCCUGGGGUUUCGUAGUGAUUAAUCCCAAAAAACAGGGGAAAUAAUUUUAUAAAUGAUAAACAUGAUUGUUUGCUUAUCAGUUCUAACACCUUGCACAGAAAGAAUGAGUUUCGGAAUGAACUCCAUCACAUCAAAAAUCCAAUCCUUCCUCAAGAAUAGUUUCUCUGAAUCAUUAAAAAUGUGAGCCUGUUUACCCCUCCUCAGUCUCUCCCACUAAUGCUGCCAUAUCUACAUCUGUUCCAAACUUUCACCAUGACGUCACCUGUUUCGCAACAUUUUUGUUUCUUUUGGUUUUCUCUUUUUAGGGCCACAACUGUGGCAGAGGGAAGUUCCCAGGCUAGGGGGCAAGUGGAGCUGCAGCUGCUGGCCUACACCACAGCCACAACAAUGCCAGAUCUGAGCCGCAUCUACGACCUACACCUUAUGCCCGAUUCUUGACCCACUGAGCAAAGCCAGGGAUCAAAUCCACAUCCUCACAGAGGCACUGUUGUGUCCUUAACCCACUGACCAAAGUGGGAACUCCUUAACCAUCUUCUUCAUUCAAUUGUUAAAUGAUUUUUUAUUUUCCUAGGUUCUAAUUUUUUAACUAUCCAUUCAACUCAUUCAUACAAAUGCCAAAAUAUUUUCCUUUGGACUCUUUCAACAUCCAAAAGGUCUCUUUCUCACAAAAUGGAUGUUCAAAAUCAGAAGAGUGAUUUUGAAGAUUGGGUACAAGUAAAUCUUUGAAUAGAUCCCAUUGGAGUAUCUGCUUCUGUGACUCAGCAACACCUGCCAACAUCAUCAUGAGGAGCAAAAGUGACUACAUUUAUUGAGCAACUGCUCUAAGAAAUAGCAUGGGAUAAGAAGUUUUCAGCACCUUUUAUCUCAAAAAAAAAUUAGAAAGAUGAGAAAGAUGACGCUCAGGAAGUAAGAUGCCCAAGGUUUCACAAGAGGUGAGUGGCAAAGUCAGGCACAGGAAGAGAGGAAGGCUGAAUUUCUGGUUUGAAGCUGAAAGAUCUCUCGUCUUUCCAAAAAUGACAUUAAUUUUUACGAUUUGGUCUAAAAGGUACUCUCCAAAUGAAAACCAUCUUUAACUAAUUAAGAACAUUUAUUUCUAUUUUGGUAAUAGCAGUAAACACAGAAUUAUCUAUCUUUCACAUUCUUUAAAUAAAUCCUUUACCCAAAGAGUGGAUGAACAUUUGGAGCGUGUGAGUGUGAGUGUGUGUGUGUAAGAGAGAGAGAGAGGGGAGGGGAGAGAAAGAGACAUAUAGACAGACAGACAGAUUCCAAACCUGCAAUUUUACUCCUCUCUUAAAAAAUGCUUCUACUACAAAGUCAUUCUGAGAAUGGAGUGCCUCCUCAUGUUCCUUCAGAGAAAAAAGAAACAGACAUGAAGAAAAAUGGUGAUUUAAAGAAAGUAAUUCACACACGACAGCUCGACUUACUCCUUUUUCUUUCCCACGUGUUCCCUCUGAUAGUAAGAGCAUCCAUUCCUUCAACAGUCCAGAAACAAUUGAUGCCACACAUCAUGUGCGAAUCCAACUGACAAGACACACCAUCUGCAGCGACCAUGAAAGGCCCGCUUGGAAGACCAAGCGCACCUGCCAUCAAAGCUCAAGGCAAGAAAAUAUGCCAAGAUGCACAGCUACAUUUUUAGUACAUACACUUUAUUUAUUUUGCCAGUAGAGAAAAUGGUCAAAGUGAGAGGAAAUUAUGAAAGCCUAGUGCUCUGCUCAGAACAAAGGACGAGCUAUAAUAAAGACUUCGAGUCUGAUUUUUGGAUCUGUGUGAUAUGGUUUAUGGUCUUAAUCAGCAGAAACUUAAGGAAUCUAAAAAAGACUGUGGAUGAAUACACAUUCCUUUUAAAUAUUUCAGAAAGCUUUGUGGCUUUUGACAGUAUUCAUAAACUUAAGUAGGGAUAAAGAGACAGCUUUGUUGUCUGAGGAAGCAUGAAGAAGUAAGGUUGCCACUGAUCACUACAUUAUGCCAACAUAAUAAACUACUUUUUCAAAAGGGAGCAAAGUAAAAUAAAAUGAUUUUAUGAAGGAAGUGUAUUGUGCCAAAAGCACAAGAUGGUAUACUAAACACUAAACUGCACACUGGAAGCAUCUGACAUACUACUAACCUGGCUUAUAAAACGUAUUUUCAGUGAUUAUCGUAACAAGAUUCUCAUUUUGUGAGCAAAUCUCCCGAGUCAACCUUUAUGUCCUUAGAUUUCAAAGCUACACUUUUUGGUUACGUAAUACAGAGCUUAUCCUGACGAUGCAACAAUAAAAGAAACAUAAGCUCCUUGGGUACUAGCAGGAACUUCUACCAGGCUACUGACAAUCAACUGAUAUUUUAUGUGCUUUCAGUUCUUGAUUUGUAAAUGAGGCUAAUGGUAUUUACUGCCUUACCUUUCCUCCUUUCUUCUGCCUUUAUUUCUCUGAGGCAUCACAAGAUCAAUGAAUAAAUCUUAUAAAAUACUAAGCCAAAAGUAAUAUUCAAGGAUUACAAUCAAUUUUUUAUUAAGGGGGUACUGCUUCAAGCUAUUUUGCUAAUGUACGAGACACCAUAUAAAUGUGUUAAAAAGCACACUGGAACAGUUUAGAAAUGAUUUUAACCCAAUAGAUUAUAACUGCCUAGCACUUUAGUUUUAUGAAUGUUUUCCAUUUGUCUCUUUUAUUUAAAUUAAAAUACUAAAUGACAAUCAGUAAAACCAAUUAAAGAAUCAUUGUUUAAUUAUACUAUUACGCAUAGAUGAACAAAUGAAAGGCAUAUUCCAUUUGGAUUAGACAAAACAAUAUGUAGAGUACUUUAUAUUUCCCUUAUGUUUUAAGAGUAACUGACUAUCAAGAGGUUUAAAAUCAUUUCAAAUAAAUACUAUAUGAGUUAACUACUGCUCGGUAAAACAAAUGAUCCCCAAACCGAGUGGCUUAAGACCAUGAACACUUAUUAUUUUGUAGUUUCUGCGGGUCAUGACUUUGGGAGCAAGUCAUUUAGCUGGGGGGUUCCAGCUCGGCAUCUCUCAUGGUGCUGUGUCCAGAUGGUGGCCAGGGUCUGCAGCCAUCUGAAGACUUGGCUGUGGCGGAGUGAUUCACUUCCUAGAUGGCUUCCUCACAUAGUCUACACUGUGUAAGUCCCUUCCCGAGUGUUCCUUUCCAUAAGGGCUGCUCCUGAGACAGCUGCAUCUUCAUGAAAUGGCAGUUUCCUGACCCAGGCUUGGCGUGGAUCUCCGUCUCUGUCUGACAGCUGCAUCCUCUUGGUCACACAGGUCAGCCCUACUCCAUGUGAGAUGGAACUGAAGGGCCUGACUACAAAGGGGCAGGGAUCACUGGGGAUCAUGUGGAAGUUGGCCACUACAAUCACUUAGAAGAUGGUCAAAACUUAAGAGCUGUCUUACCUACCCUAGAAAAUUCAAUAGUCACCUGUCCAAAGAGCUUCCAGUAGGUGUGGAACUCACUGAGCAAACCUGUGAAAUGUGUCAAAGAUAAUGGUACAGAAGGUGUCCUCAAGAAGCUCCCAAGAAUGAGCAAGAUAAAUGAUUAUUCGGAAUCAUGUCAAUGUUCAAAUGGAUUCCAACACACUGCUACUGAAUUACAAAAAAAAAGUCAUUACACCAGCGAAGAGUUAAAAGAAUCAGGAACUUAAGUCCAUUAGAACUAGCUUAGGACUAUAAAAUAUAAAAGAAAUAAAAGACGCUGAGCUGUUUUUCCCAUCAUCCUAACAUGACCGUUAAUAAGAGGUCUUUGAAAAGGAGGAGCACGACUGCACAGGGUGUGCCCUCAUACGACGGUGUCUGCACAGACGGCAGCCUCGAGG